rnacentral:piRNA from 1 species
UGCUAUGACUACAGAACCCAUCCAAACCCC